AGAGGUGGGGGACAGAGUGGGUGGGGAGGGGAGCCGCCAUACAGUGGCCAGGACCAGCUUUGCCCAAGUGGUGGCAACCGCAUGACCACAGGAACGAUGGCGUGAGCCCCGUGGCAACCUGGAGGAAGGGCCAAGCCACUGGUGAAUAUGCUGCAAAAAAUAUGCUGGAACUUCUAUGAAUACCACAGGGUGUGAGAAGAAAACAUUAGAACUUCUAUUUUGUACCUGUGUUACUCCACAACAAGAAAGCAAUCAGCUUGAUCAAUGCCUACUGUAAAGACGGCACCGCCCUCCGGAGGUCCUUUCUCAGCCCUGGUGUUCGGACAGCCACAUCCCCUCGCAGCAGGGGGAGGCCUGAAGCAUAGAGGGGCCCAUGCAGGUCUAUUCUGUUUCAGCGAAUUGCCUGGGAAAUAAUCCAGGAUCCAUUUCGUGUGGUCAUCUUGUCUCCCUGGUCCCCUCCAGCCUUUCCUCAUCUUUUGUGACCUGGUCACUCUGGAAGGGCGCUGGCCAGUUAGUCCACAGGAUGGGCCUCCCCUGGGGCUUUUCUGAUGCUUCCUUAUGAUGGCACUGGCAUCCUGAGGGGGAGGACCACAGAGAGGAGGUGCUCCUCAUCACACCACAUGGGGGUCCAUGCACCAGUGCCACUGCUUUCCAGGGCUCUUCACCUUCAUCACUGGUGGAGGUGGCGUCUGCCAAGAAGCAGAAAGUUGAGGCUUAGAAGGUGCACGGCCCUACCUCUUCCGAGGUGCCCCUGCGGGCUGUCUACAGACCAGGCAGCACAUGCCUGAUAGCAGCUGCAUAAGGAAAAGCAGGAGCCAGCUCGUGCACAGUGGCCUCAAGUGUGCACUGGGCAUGUUCUCUGCCUCACCAUCCCUGUGUGACAGAUGAAGCAUGACAGCCCUCAACAGAAGCCAAGGCCAAGUCCUCGAACUUCCUAGUCUGCACAAUGUCUGUCUUUCAGACACUUCUGAUGAAACUGAAAAUGCCACCAGGGAGAAGCAGCUGAACAAUGUGAGAGAUAGAAUGGAUGCCCUAAAGAAGAGGAUGCAGCAGAAAUUAGGAAGAGAUAAAGAAGAGCAACAUUCCUUAAGAAAUGCCCUAUGGUUGGGAAUGGCCAUUUCAUGUUAGAAACAAAGGUGAUAAUAUUCAAUUCUGGGCAGUC
rnacentral:lncRNA from 1 species